GUAUUCAGCUGCUGUCCGGUGGUCCGGCUUGCCAGACAAACCCGCUWCUGGUUGGUUGGCUUGCCCGCCUCGACGACUGGAUGGUAUUGCAUUUGCRAGUGGAGUGCGCUGAGAGGUGUGGUUCAACGAUGGGAUACCGGCUUUGAGGGCACUUCCUCACGGAAGUGAAUCCCGGGCCGGUGGAAAAUUGUUUGGGCUACACUCCACGAGGGGAAUGGCCUACRAGUUCUAGCGCCUUCACGGCUAUCACUGGURACGGUCACAUGUGACACGUGCCUGUUGUUGUCGUGUUGGUGUUGGAAUUCUCUUUCCCCGUCUCGGUGUAAAAGUUGGUCAUCUAUCCGACCCGUCUUGAAACACGGACCAAGGAGUUUAGCGUAUACGCGAGUCAUUGAGUGUUGAAAACUCACAGGCGCARUGAAAGUGAAUUGUAAAUGAUAUGCGAUCUAUAGCACUGCGGUGUCGUAGAGCAGCAUAGCCCCGUCCCGAUUGCAUGCAAUGGGGCGGAGGUAGAGCGUAUUCGCUGAGACCCGAAAGAUGGUGAACUAUUCCUGAGCAGGAUGAAGCCAGAGGAAACUCUGGUGGAAGUCCGAAGCGGUUCUGAC
rnacentral:rRNA from 1 species